UGCCAGCCGCCGCGGUAAUACAGAGGGUGCAAGCGUUAAUCGGAAUUAUUGGGCGUAAAGCGCACGUAGGCGGUUAUUUAAGUCAGAUGUGAAAGGCCAAGGCUCAACCUUGGUUAGUCAUUUGAAACUGAGUAACUAGAGUAAAGGAGAGGAAAGUAGAAUUUCCGGUGUAGCGGUGAAAUGCGUAGAUAUCGGAAGGAAUACCAGUGGCGAAGGCGGCUUUCUGGACCAAUACUGACGCUGAGAUGCGAAAGCGUGGGGAGCGAACAGGAUUAGAUA
rnacentral:rRNA from 1 species